GACGAACGCUGGCGGCGCGCUUAACACAUGCAAGUCGAACGGAAAGGCCCUGCUUUUGUGGGGUGCUCGAGUGGCGAACGGGUGAGUAACACGUGAGUAACCUGCCCUUGACUUUGGGAUAACUUCAGGAAACUGGGGCUAAUACCGGAUAGGAGCUCCUGCUGCAUGGUGGGGGUUGGAAAGUUUCGGCGGUUGGGGAUGGACUCGCGGCUUAUCAGCUGGUUGGUGGGGUAGUGGCUUACCAAGGCUUUGACGGGUAGCCGGCCUGAGAGGGUGACCGGCCACAUUGGGACUGAGAUACGGCCCAGACUCCUACGGGAGGCAGCAGUGGGGAAUAUUGCACAAUGGGCGGAAGCCUGAUGCAGCAACGCCGCGUGCGGGAUGACGGCCUUCGGGUUGUAAACCGCUUUCGCCUGUGACGAAGCGUGAGUGACGGUAAUGGGUAAAGAAGCACCGGCUAACUACGUG
rnacentral:rRNA from 1 species